GACGAACGCUGGCGGCGUGCUUAACACAUGCAAGUCGAGCGGUAAGGCCCUUUCGGGGGUACACGAGCGGCGAACGGGUGAGUAACACGUGGGUGACCUGCCCUCAGCUCUGGGAUAAGCCUGGGAAACUGGUCUAAUACUGGAUAUGACUCCACGGUGCAUGUCGUGGGGUGGAAAGCCUUGUGCGGCUGAGGAUGGGCCCGCGGCCUAUCAGCUUGUUGGUGGGGUGANGGCCUACCAAGGCGACGACGGGUAGCCGGCCUGAGAGGGCGACCGGCCACACUGGGACUGAGACACGGCCCAGACUCCUACGGGAGGCAGCAGUGGGGAAUCUUGCGCAAUGGGCGAAAGCCUGACGCAGCGACGCCGCGUGAGGGAUGACGGCCUCGGUUGUAAC
rnacentral:rRNA from 1 species